AGAAUGAAGAGAGGGGCAGACUUGGUUACCAGAUGUUGUGUGGUGAGAGAGAAAUAUAGGAUAAUAUUCUGGUUUCUGGCUUGGAAAAUUAAAUUACUGAUGACAUCAUUUAUUAAAGGAAUACUAGGGAAGGAGUACAUAUGAAAGUGAAGAUAAUUGACAAUAUGAUGGUUGAAAUGUCUAUGAAACAUACAAGUUGACAUGGACCAGUAGGAAUUGGAAAUAUGAUUCAAGAACUUGAGGACUGGCCCUGGGAUGCAGAUUUUGGAAUCAUUGGUAUGAAUUACAGUAUCGUUGGAGAGUAGGAACAGUGAGAGAAGAAGAAAUUAGAGAGCAGCUCUGUGAAAUACUAACAUUUAAGAAGAGGAAAAAAAGGUUGU